UACGAAGGGGGCUAGCGUUGCUCGGAAUCACUGGGCGUAAAGGGUGCGUAGGCGGGUCUUUAAGUCAGGGGUGAAAUCCUGGAGCUCAACUCCAGAACUGCCUUUGAUACUGAGGAUCUUGAGUCCGGGAGAGGUGAGUGGAACUGCGAGUGUAGAGGUGAAAUUCGUAGAUAUCGGGAGGAACACCGGUGGCGAAGGCGGCGACCUGGGACAAUACUGACGCUGAGGUGCGAAAGCGUGGGGAGCAAACAGG
rnacentral:rRNA from 1 species